rnacentral:rRNA from 1 species
AUGGCGCCACGGAGCUCGCAAGAAGGACGCCCGCCAUCCACUUGUCAUGCUGGAGCUAGAGGAGGGAGGCAUGGCGCCCGUUGGGGAUGCCGCCAACGUCUACUUCGUCAAGCUGGAGCCCGGAGAUGUGGAGCUCGCAGGAUUCCGCCGUGUACCGCGGAGGAAGGCGAGACGGAGCUCGCUAGGAUGACGCCCGACUUCUUCUUCAUCAAGCCGGUGCCAUGGAGGAUGGAGACGGAGCUUGCUAGGACGACGCCCGUUGUCUUCUUCAUCAAGCUGGCGACAUGGAGAACAAAGGCGUGGAGGCUCGCAACGAUGCUGCCACCGUGCCGCGUUGGAUAA